GCCCUUAGAGUUUGAUCCUGGCUCAGGAUGAACGCUAGCUACAGGCUUAACACAUGCAAGUCGAGGGGCAGCAUGAUUGAAGCUUGCUUCAAUCGAUGGCGACCGGCGCACGGGUGAGUAACACGUAUCCAACCUGCCGAUAACUCGGGGAUAGCCUUUCGAAAGAAAGAUUAAUACCCGAUAGCAUAGUUUUUCCGCAUGGUUUCACUAUUAAAGAAUUUCGGUCAUCGAUGGGGAUGCGUUCCAUUAGAUAGUUGGCGGGGUAACGGCCCACCAAGUCAACGAUGGAUAGGGGUUCUGAGAGGAAGGUCCCCACAUUGGAACUGAGACACGGUCCAAACUCCUACGGGAGGCAGCAGUGAGGAAUAUUGGUCAAUGGACGAGAGUCUGAACCAGCCAAGUAGCGUGAAGGAUGACUGCCCUAUGGGUUGUAAACUUCUUUUAUACGGGAAUAAAGUGGAGUAUGCAUACUCCUAUGUAUGUACCGUAGAAUAAGGAUCGGCAACUACU
rnacentral:rRNA from 1 species